AGCAGUCGCCACGGGAAUACGUAGGGUGCAAGCGUUAAUCGGAAUUACUGGGCGUAAAGCGUGCGCAGGCGGUUAUAUAAGACAGAUGUGAAAUCCCCGGGCUCAACCUGGGAACUGCAUUUGUGACUGUAUAGCUAGAGUACGGCAGAGGGGGAUGGAAUUCCGCGUGUAGCAGUGAAAUGCGUAGAUAUGCGGAGGAACACCGAUGGCGAAGGCAAUCCCCUGGGCCUGUACUGACGCUCAUGCACGAAAGCGUGGGGAGCAAACAGGAUUAGAUACCCCGGUAGUCCCUGUCUCUUAUAC
rnacentral:rRNA from 1 species